rnacentral:rRNA from 1 species
GACGAACGCUGGCGGCGUGCCUAAUACAUGCAAGUAGAACGCACAGUUUAUACCGUAGCUUGCUACACCAUAGACUGUGAGUUGCGAACGGGUGAGUAACGCGUAGGUAACCUGCCUGGUAGCGGGGGAUAACUAUUGGAAACGAUAGCUAAUACCGCAUAAUAUUAAUUAUUGCAUGAUAAUUAAUUGAAAGUUGCAAUUGCACCACUACCAGAUGGACCUGCGUUGUAUUAGCUAGUAGGUGAGGUAACGGCUCACCUAGGCGACGAUACAUAGCCGACCUGCGAGGGUGAGCGGCCACACUGGGACUGAGACACGGCCCAGACUCCUACGGGAGGCAGCAGUAGGGAAUCUUCAGCAAUGGACGAAAGUCUGACCGAGCAACGCCGCGUGAGUGAAGAAGGUUUUCGGAUCGUGAAGCUCUGUUGUAAGAGAAGAACGGGUGUGAGAGUGGAAAGUUCACACUGUGACGGUAUCUUACCAGAAAGGGACGGCUAACUACGUG